rnacentral:rRNA from 1 species
GACAGAGGAGGCGAGCGUUAUCCGGCUUCAUUGGGCGUAAAGGGUACGUAGGCGGCUAGUCAAGUCUGAGGUUAAAGACCACAGCUUAACUGUGGGAAGGCCUUGGAAACUGACUGGCUAGAGUGGGGCAGGGGUUGCGGGAAUUCCCGGUGUAGCGGUGAAAUGCGUAGAUAUCGGGAAGAACACCUGAGGCGAAAGCGCGCAACUGGGCCCUAACUGACGCUGAGGUACGAAAGCUAGGGGAGCGAAGGGG